rnacentral:rRNA from 1 species
CACGUAGGGUGCGAGCGUUGUCCGGAAUUAUUGGGCGUAAAGAGCUCGUAGGCGGUGUGUCGCGUCGGCCGUGAAAACUUGCAGCUCAACUGCAGGCUUGCGGUCGAUACGGGCAGGCUAGAGUUCGGUAGGGGAGACUGGAAUUCCUGGUGUAGCGGUGAAAUGCGCAGAUAUCAGGAGGAACACCGGUGGCGAAGGCGGGUCUCUGGGCCGAUACUGACGCUGAGGAGCGAAAGCGUGGGGAGCGAACAGG